GACGUAGGAGGCGAGCGUUGUCCGGAUUCAUUGGGCGUAAAGAGCGCGCAGGCGGCUUGGUAAGUCGGAUGUGAAAUCCCGAGGCUCAACCUCGGGUCUGCAUCCGAUACUGCCCGGCUAGAGGUAGGUAGGGGAGAUCGGAAUUCCUGGUGUAGCGGUGAAAUGCGCAGAUAUCAGGAGGAACACCGGUGGCGAAGGCGGGUCUCUGGGCCGAUAACUGACGCUGGAGGAGCGAAAGCGUGGGGAGCGAACAGG
rnacentral:rRNA from 1 species